rnacentral:rRNA from 1 species
UACGUAGGGUGCAAGCGUUAAUCGGAAUUACUGGGCGUAAAGGGUGCGUAGGCGGUUCGUUAAGUCUGUCGUGAAAUCCCCGGGCUCAACCUGGGAAUGGCGAUGGAUACUGGCGAGCUAGAGUGUGUCAGAGGAUGGUGGAAUUCCCGGUGUAGCGGUGAAAUGCGUAGAGAUCGGGAGGAACACCAGUGGCGAAGGCGGCCUUCUGGACCAAUACUGACGCUCAUGCACGAAAGCGUGGGGAGCAAACAGG